rnacentral:lncRNA from 1 species
AGGGAAGACAGCAAAGACAGUGAGGGAGAGAGCAGACAUCUGUCUCUGGGGUGCUUAUCUGUGUGGAAGAGACCGGUCCUUCCUGAUUGGCUUCAUGUCCCUCAAGGUGUUCUCCUGGCUGCUCAAGUAUUUACCCAUCUGUGUGUGACUCAUAUCCAGGCACCCAGGCGGCUUCCCUUCAGUCGAUUGCUGCCUCCGGAAGAUGAGCCUCCCCUGCCGCUCCACAAGGUUCAAGUGCUUCAAUGAAAUGAAAGAGAACUCCAGUCUG